AGUGAACGCUGGCGGUAGGCCUAACACAUGCAAGUCGAACGGCAGCACAGUAAGAGCUUGCUCUUACGGGUGGCGAGUGGCGGACGGGUGAGGAAUACAUCGGAAUCUACUUUUUCGUGGGGGACAACGUAGGGAAACUUACGCUAAUACCGCAUACGACCUACGGGUGAAAGCAGGGGAUCUUGUGAACUUGCGGGAUUGAAUGAGCCGAUGUCGGAUUAGCUAGUUGGCGGGGUAAAGGCCCACCAAGGCGACGAUCCGUAGCUGGUCUGAGAGGAUGAUCAGCCACACUGGAACUGAGACACGGUCCAGACUCCUACGGGAGGCAGCAGUGGGGAAUAUUGGACAAUGGGCGCAAGCCUGAUCCAGCCAUACCGCGUGGGUGAAGAAGGCCUUCGGGUUGUAAAGCCCUUUUGUUGGGAAAGAAAAGCAGCAGGUUAAUCCCCCGCUGUUCUGACGGUACCCAAAGAAUAAGCACCGGCUAACUUCGUG
rnacentral:rRNA from 1 species